rnacentral:lncRNA from 1 species
AUUAUGAAUAAUGUAUUUCAAGGUUGUAAAUUGAGAGACACAGUGUAUUGCAAUUGUAAUAGGUAACAAACUAGUAGAGGUUUGUGGACUUCAAAAAGUAUAAUGGUAAAAUUAUAAUAAUGGAAACUCUACUAGUGAUAAUCAAUUAAGUCACAUUCGAAUUCUCUUGGCUAAAUUGUUUUUUUUUUUUUUCUCCUUGAGCUUUUUUCAUUACAUAUUAGUUCUAACGUGAAUAUUAGACACACUUUAAUGUGUUUUUUUUUUAAAUUUGUAUGACCUCUUAAUUGAUUCGUAUGACCUCUUAAUGAUGAUUGAGAA